UUAAUCAAAACCGUAAGUAUAUUCAUACAUUCAAGUAACAUAAAACUGGCCUAUCUGCCUUAAUGUGCGUUUCUAUCAGCUAAAAGUCCCAUGUAGUAUAUCUUCAAAGUAACUUUAUUGUUGCUCAGAUUCAGAGCUUGACAAUUCAGACAUUGCUCCAAAGGAUCUGAAGGUCAGUGUCAUGGGAGAGAAGGCACCUGACAGAAACACCAUGGCUUCCUUGGAAAGUGGUCUCUUUGGCAGAGCAGGAUGCAGAAGCCCCUCCUGCCAUGACUUGCCCUGUAGUUACUUUGUGGGGAGAACAGAUGAGUUCAGCAUACAGGGUUUGACUGCUUCUUCACAGGCACCCAUUUAUGUGACAACUUUUUGA
rnacentral:lncRNA from 1 species